CAGUCGCCGCGGUAAUACGAAGGGUGCAAGCGUUAAUCGGAACUACUGGGCGUAAAGCGUGCGUAGGCGGUUUGUUAAGUCUGUUGUGAAAUCCCCGGGCUCAACCUGGGAAUUGCAGUGGAUACUGGGUCACUAGAGUGUGGUAGAGGAUAGUGGAAUUUCCGGUGUAGCAGUGAAAUGCGUAGAGAUCGGAAGGAACAUCUGUGGCGAAGGCGACUAUCUGGGCCAACACUGACACUGAGGCACGAAAGCGUGGGGAGCAAACAGGAUUAGAUACCCCUGUAGUCCCUGUCUCUUAUAC
rnacentral:rRNA from 1 species